AUUCCAAGUUAUCUACUGCCUAACUUUCAUUUAAGACUGUUAAACAUCAAAUAGCAUUGCUUGGCAGUUAUAGCAGCUGACGUGAAUAGAUUCAUAGGAGCCCUAACACUGUCACCAUAUGGUCUCAAGUUGAAACUAAACCAGGCCAGUAACCACGAGGUCCACUUCCUAGACAUACGUGUAAAGUGUAUGCAAGGCAAAAUAAUAACAGCCGUAUAUAGAAGCCAUCGUAUGUACCUGUAUUAAUACCUAGAUGGUCCAACGACCCCAUGCCGGUAUAAGCAAGUCACUUUCAGAUUGUUCUUCAAGAGGGCCAAGUUAUACUCGAUGGAUAAAGAGAAUCUGCAGCAUGAAAUUGAUUACAUUUACAACAUUGGAUAUAAGCAUGGGUAUGGUAGAGAGUUGUUAAACCAAGUGCAUGAAUCCAUAAAAAAGAAACUAUCUAACCAAUGCAGUGAUCAAACCCCGAAAGUAGAAAACUUGGCCUUUAUACUUGUCCCAUACCCUUUCAAUCAGAUGCCAUUCGCCAAAAAAGUAGCCAGAAAGGUUGAUAAAAGAUUAACUUGAACUUGAUAAAAGAUAAACUUUGUAUUUAACUUUAUCUACAUAUUGUACGACUAGACAUC
rnacentral:lncRNA from 1 species